GCGGAUUUAGCUCAGUUGGGAGAGCGCCAGACUGAAGAAAACUUUGGUCGUUUGAAAUCUGGAGGUCCUGUGUUCGAUCCACAGAAUUCGCA
rnacentral:tRNA from 1 species